AGUGAACGCUGGCGGCAGGCCUAACACAUGCAAGUCGAACGGCAGCACAGUAAGAGCUUGCUCUUACGGGUGGCGAGUGGCGGACGGGUGAGGAAUACAUCGGAAUCUACUUUUUCGUGGGGGAUAACGGAGGGAAACUGACGCUAAUACCGCAUACGACCUACGGGUGAAAGCAGGGGAUCUACGGACUUUGCCCGACUGAAAGAGCCGAUGCCGGAUUAGCUAGUUGGCGGGGUAAAGGCCCACCAAGGCGACGAUCCGUAGCUGGUCUGAGAGGAUGAUCAGCCACACUGGAACUGAGACACGGUCCAGACUCCUACGGGAGGCAGCAGUGGGGAAUAUUGCGCAAUGGGCGCAAGCCUGAUCCAGCCAUGCCGCGUGGGUGAAGAAGGUCUUCGGGUUGUAAAGCCCUUUUGUUAGGGAAGAACAGCUGCGGGUUUAACCCCCCCUGUUCUGACGGUACCCAAACAAAAAGCCCCGGCUAACUUCGUG
rnacentral:rRNA from 1 species